CUGGGCAGGCCUCCCUGAGAGAAGCCGCCCGGCUGGCCGCCUGCCCCACCCGCUGGGGACCCCUGCAGACCAGGCUGGGAAUUGCAGCGCUCUGCUUGGCCACCCGCUGGGCACUCACGUCUCCCGGUGACAAACACGCGUGAUCCUGCCCGCGUGGCAGGGUCGCGUGUCCCACGCGUCGACGCUGCUUAGUUCCCUUUCCGCUGUGCGCCCCGCCCGCCCACGGACGCCCCAGAUCCUCUCGGAGAGGAGGUGGCCGGGAGAGGUGUCACGGAGGGGCCUGGCUCCUCCUCCACACCCCCAGGACGCUGAAGGAGCGACUACCCUCUAAGCGCCGUCCCGAGACCCUGGAAAGGCCCGGGGAAAGUCCUCGAGUCUGGAGCAUCCCAGAAGCGUGAAGGAGAAGGUGCAGGACACGGAGAGAAACCUCCAGGGCCUGAAGGGGCAGAGAAAAGGUGCUUCAGCCUCCUCACCGGGUGACUCUGUUGGGGACAGGACCUGCAGGACCUACAGCAAACGGUGAGCGACCCCGGGGAGGACCAGGGCAGGGAGGGGCCGGUGGGAGGGCAGCUGGCACCGGAGGAUCACCUGCUACAGAGGGACGGCGCUUCCUGCCCGCCUGCUGGCUCCCGGUGUUUGAUGUCCUGGUCUUUGGAGAGCGAGCGCUUGCCGACAGCAUUCUGGAGUUCGUGGAUGUCUUGACAGCCCUGGAAGAGCAGCAGCAGUAUCUGGGAGAAGAAGGACCCUUGCUCAUGCUGAAGGACAAGGUGGAGGCCGUCCUGGAGGAGAAGUGGGGUGUGCAGACCAGCAAUCCUAGGACACGGGCCAUCUUUGUCCGCUGCCUCGCUGUCUCCAGGCUGCUGCAGCCGGGGAAGCAGCCCACCGCCUCCUAAAGAGCCCCUUCCCCACCCUCCCGAGCCCAUCCUGAAGUGGCCACCACCGCCAUCAUCCUGUCACCAGAGGGACCUCAUCAAAACAUGCAGAUGGCUUCCUUCCAGGGGCCCCUUCCCCGCAUGGUAAUGUCCCCAACCAGCCUGGACUGUACGCACGGGUUUCUGGUUAAAGCUGGCAGGUUGAUUGUAUUAAUUUCUCUCUUGAAACCUCAAUGAAUGACAGUAGAGCAACUGGGAAAGUAGAAGCCCUCGAGGAUAAAAAGAAAGCAAAGUCAGGGGAUUUAACACAUCUUUAGAAGCUAGAAAGUGAGGGCCUGACGGGGUGUGUGUGUGUGUGUGUGUGUGCGCGCGCUGUUUUCAUCAUCAGAAGUCUUUAGUUCUGUUUUAUAUUCUCAAAAUGUAAUUAAAAGUUAAAGAAAUAAUGUGGGUAUACAGCAUUUCAAAUACAUCUCCAUUAUUAAGUAGAAGGUGGAGCUGCUGUGCACCUCUUCCUGCUGGGGACCAGAGGUAAGUGACAUCUGAGCCCUAAGGCGACUUGCGCCGGGUGAGAGACUUUUGCUGUUUACAAGUCAGGCACACGGGGCUGCCUGUGGCCGGCCUUGCGGAUGGAUGGUUCUGGAAGCCAAGCCCAAGGGCCUCCCGGAGUGGGCUACACUGGAGUCUCAAGGGUGAUGUCUUCGUAGUAAAGGUGACUCAGCAGUGGGCCCGUGGCUCCAGCCACCUUGAGGGAAAGCAGAAAAGGCUUUUGGGUACAUAAUGAAGAGGUUGUAGAAGAGAAGGGAAAAAGUAUUCUGAGACGCUGAGAUCAGAGGCGCCUUGCUGAGGAACUCAGGCUCUCACUCAGGCAGUGGACUUGGGUGGGGACGUCUUGGGCCGAACACACUCUUAGGUGCCUGUCAGAAAUCAGAUGUGACCUUCAUUCCCGUAAAUGAUCAUUUAGGGCCAGUGAGUGGCUCCCAGAAAGGCACCGACAAUGAAUGAGCAGAAAUACCAGACAGCAGAGGGAGAGAUGGACGCAAUCAGUGCUGGAAUUCCUGGACAAGAAGAGCCCUCGCUGAGACACCCAGGGGGCGCACUUGGAGCCCUGUUCCUGCACCUCAGGUCCUUCUCCCCGGGGAAGCUGUAGGUUCCCCGAGUCACACGACUUCCUGACAGCCACACUUGGCCGCUUUAGCGAGAAAUACACAAGGCACCUGGUUCCUUGUGAAAUAAGCAGCCUGCUACAGCUGAAAAUCAUUCCCUUGUUAGGCCACAGGACAUCAGUACUAACGUAGUUUUGGAGUCUCGCAUAUAAAAGAAGCCACGAGAUGCUGAAGCCUGUGUGUCUCAGCUCUUCCACAAGUCGGCGUGGACCCCCGGUGCCUCCGUUUUCCCACUUACCUAUGAGAGACAGGCAGGGUCUCGCGCUAAGUCACGAAGUUAUCCAGGCUGGGCUCAAAAUUGUGAUCAUCCUGCCUCAGCCUCCCAGAACUGUUGGAAUUACACAUCUGAGGCACCAUAGUGGGCUAAUAUUUGAGUGUAGGCAUUUCUUUUGGGUCCGAAGAUACUACUACUGUACUUGUUAUAAAAAUGUUUUCACGGUUCAGCAGCUGCAACCAAAAUGAGCUGUAGAAAUCUCUGCAAAUUCGUUAAAGUCGUGAAAAAGAGUGAAGUACAUGAAAGAUGAGAGUUCAGGUUGUGGCCAGCCUGGCUGGGCCGUGACCGGUUAAUGAAGAAGUCCCAUGUAACAUGCACAGCACCGCUCCACAGCCCUGCAAGCGAAUGCUGAGUCGGACAGGACAGGCCUGAGCCGGAAGUCAGCCCAAGGACUGGGAGAGGAAAAGGCCCACUGUUCCUCAGCUCUUCCAGCUGUGUUCUCUCCUGUGGAGCGAACUUGUUUUCCUGCUUUAUCUCGGCCUAGACUCACUCUGCAGAGCCAGUUUCUCUUCCUAUGUUUAAUACAUGUUAAAACUCUGC